rnacentral:rRNA from 1 species
UACGGGGGGAGCGAGCGUUGCCCGGAAUUACUGGGCGUAAAGGGCGUGUAGGCGGCUUAAUAAGUCAGAUGUGAAAGCCCCCGGCUUAACCGGGGAUGGUCAUUUGAGACUGUUGGGCUUGAGUGCGAGAGAGGGUAGUGGAAUUCCCAGUGUAGCGGUGAAAUGCGUAGAUAUUGGGAAGAACACCAGUAGCGAAGGCGGCUACCUGGCUCGUCACUGACGCUGAGGCGCGAAAGCGUGGGGAGCAAACAGG